rnacentral:rRNA from 1 species
AUUGAACGCUGGCGGCAGGCCUAACACAUGCAAGUCGAACGAGUGGCGGACGGGUGAGUAAUGUCUGGGAAACUGCCCGAUGGAGGGGGAUAACUCCUGGAAACGGUAGCUAAUACCGCAUACCAUCGGAUGUGCCCAGAUGGGAUGUGCUUGUAGGGGAGGUAACGGCUCACCUAGGCGACUAUCCCUAGCUGGUCUGAGAGGAUGACCAGCCCAGCGGGAACUGAGACACGGUCCAGACGCCUACGGGAGGCAGCAGUGGGGAAUAUUGCACCAUGGGCGCAAGCCGGAUGCAGCCAUGCCGCGUGUAUGAAGAAGGCCUUCGGGUUGUAAAGUACUUUCAGCGGGGAGGCGUUACCCGCAGAAGAAGCACCGGCUAACUCCGUGCCAGCAGCCGCGGUAAUAC